rnacentral:rRNA from 1 species
CCUACGGGUGGCAGCAGUAGGGAAUUUUUCACAAUGGGCGAAAGCCUGAUGGAGCAAUGCCGCGUGAAUGAUGAAGGUCUUAUAGAUUGUAAAAUUCUUUUAUUUGGGAAGAAAAACUAAAGUAGGAAAUGACUUUAGUCUGACUGUACCAUUUGAAUAAGUAUCGGCUAACUAUGUGCCAGCAGCCGCGGUAAUACGGAGGAUGCGAGCGUUAUCCGGAUUUAUUGGGUUUAAAGGGUGCGCAGGCGGUCUGUUAAGUCAGCGGUCAAAGCCCGGGGCUCAACCCCGGCCCGCCGUUGAAACUGGCAGUCUCGAGUUGGAGAGAAGUAUGCGGAAUGCGCGGUGUAGCGGUGAAAUGCAUAGAUAUCGCGCAGAACUCCGAUUGCGAAGGCAGCAUGCCGGCUCCACACUGACGCUGAGGCACGAAAGCGUGGGUAUCGAACAGGAUUAGAUACCCCAGUAGUC